rnacentral:rRNA from 1 species
AGUGAACGCUGGCGGUAGGCCUAACACAUGCAAGUCGAACGGCAGCACAGUAAGAGCUUGCUCUUACGGGUGGCGAGUGGCGGACGGGUGAGGAAUACAUCGGAAUCUACUUUUUCGUGGGGGAUAACGUAGGGAAACUUACGCUAAUACCGCAUACGACCUACGGGUGAAAGCAGGGGAUCUUCGGACCUUGCGCGAUUGAAUGAGCCGAUGUCGGAUUAGCUAGUUGGCGGGGUAAAGGCCCACCAAGGCGACGAUCCGUAGCUGGUCUGAGAGGAUGAUCAGCCACACUGGAACUGAGACACGGUCCAGACUCCUACGGGAGGCAGCAGUGGGGAAUAUUGGACAAGGGGCGCAAGCCUGAUCCAGCCAUGCCGCGUGGGUGAAGAAGGCCUUCGGGUUGUAAAGCCCUGUUGUUGGGAAAGAAAAGCAGCAGGUUAAAACCCCGCUGUUCUGACGGUACCCAAAGAAUAAGCACCGGCUAACUUCGUG